AACGAACGCUGGCGGCAGGCUUAACACAUGCAAGUCGAACGCAUCCUUCGGGGUGAGUGGCAGACGGGUGAGUAACGCGUGGGAACGUGCCCUUCAGUUCGGGAUAACCCAGGGAAACUUGGGCUAAUACCGGAUACGUGCGAGAGCAGAAAGAUUUAUCGCUGAAGGAUCGGCCCGCGUCUGAUUAGCUAGUUGGUGGGGUAAUGGCCCACCAAGGCAACGAUCAGUAGCUGGUCUGAGAGGAUGAUCAGCCACAUUGGGACUGAGACACGGCCCAAACUCCUACGUGAGGCAGCAGUGGGGAAUAUUGGACAAUGGGCGCAAGCCUGAUCCAGCCAUGCCGCGUGAGUGAUGAAGGCCUUAGGGUUGUAAAGCUCUUUCGUCCGGGACGAUAAUGACGGUACCGGAAGAAGAAGCCCCGGCUAACUUCGUGCCAGCCGCCGCAGUAA
rnacentral:rRNA from 1 species